rnacentral:rRNA from 1 species
GACGAACGCUGGCGGCGUGCUUAACACAUGCAAGUCGAACGGAAAGGCCCUGCUUUUGUGGGGUGCUCGAGUGGCGAACGGGUGAGUAACACGUGAGUAACCUGCCCUUGACUUUGGGAUAACUUCAGGAAACUGGGGCUAAUACCGGAUAGGAGCUCCUGCUGCAUGGUGGGGGUUGGAAAGUUUCGGCGGUUGGGGAUGGACUCGCGGCUUAUCAGCUUGUUGGUGGGGUAGUGGCUUACCAAGGCUUUGACGGGUAGCCGGCCUGAGAGGGUGACCGGCCACAUUGGGACUGAGAUACGGCCCAGACUCCUACGGGAGGCAGCAGGGGGGAAUAUUGAACAAUGGGCGGAGGCCGGAUGCAGCAACGCCGCGUGCGGGAUGACGGCCUUCGGGUUGUAACCCGCUUUCGCCUGUGACGAAGCGUGAGUGACGGUAAUGGGUAAAGAAGCACCGGCUAACUACGUG